GUCUUUUUGAGUUUAAUUUAAAGUCUAAUCUGCCCACUGAUAAUAAUUUAAGGGCCGCAGUAUUCUGACUGUGCAAAGGUAGCAUAAUCAUUAGUCUUUUAAUUGAGGGGCUUGUAUGAAUGAUUGGACGAGAUAUAAUCUGUCUCAUAAAAAUUUUUAUAGAAUUUUAUUUUUUAGUUAAAAAGCUAAAAUUUAUUUAAAAGACGAGAAGACCCUAUAGAUCUUUAUAUUUUAAUUAUUAUUUUUUUAUAGUUAUUUUUUAAAAUUAUAAUUUAAAUUAUUUUGUUGGGGUGACAAUGAAAUUUAAUUAACUUUCAUUAUUUUAUAAACAUUAAUUUAUGAAUAAUUGAUCCAUUAUUAUUGAUUAAAAAUUUAAGUUACCUUAGGGAUAACAGCGUAAUUAUUUUGGAGAGUUCUUAUCGAUAAAAUAGUUUGCGACCUCGAUGUUGGAUUAAGAUUAAUCUUGGGUGUAGCAGCUCAAUAAAUUAAGUCUGUUCGACUUUUAAUUUCUU
rnacentral:rRNA from 1 species